UCAGCAUGAGCAAAAGUUUUUUUUUGUCGAUAGUAUGACGCACCCUGAUUUCGCUUGCCAACCACUUUGGUGAAACGAUUGUGCGUUGGCCCAUAUAUUUUCAAAUAAAACUUUUCAAUAGUUUCUAUAUUGGAGCAGUAGAUGAGAUUAUAAAUAAUAGAUAUGGUUGUAUGCUAUGCAAAAGGCCACUAAACAAGAAGAGAUUAUAAAUACUUAGAUUACCACUGUUAUUAUUAUCAUCGAAUUUAUGGUGUAAGAUGUAAGUCGGACAUUCGUCCAAAAUCUGAAAGGUGUAUGGACUAUGAAUAAAUAAAUAAUAUAAUCGAGAUUAUGAGAAGUUAGGAUGUAAAAUAAUAUAAUUGUAAUAAAAAUCAUUUUGUAGGAUACACAUUUUGUAUAUUUUGUUAUCUUGCAGUAUUACUGAUCGAAUCUACAUGAACCUAACUUUCAUUUGUAUGAAAACUUAAGGGCUACAACAUUUCUUUGAAACGUAUUUGGAAGAAUUUUAAAGGAAAAUUGAUUUUUGCCAUACUCCAUUCUGAUUCUUAUAUGUAAGAUAUCAAUUUUUCUCUAAUAUUUGAUCUAUUGUGAUCAAUUAAUAACAAUCAAUCAUUAAAUCUUGACAAUUUUUUUUUCAUCGAAAUAAAUAAAGGUCUCUAUUAUAAAAAAUGAAUUAAUUUUUACAUAUAUAUUACAUUAGAUUUUUUUUUGCCAAAUGGCUUAGUAGAGAUCAAAGAUUCUUAUAAAAAAUAUUUAACGGAUUCAUAAUUAAUAACUUAUCAAUAGCUCAUCAGUUUCAACAAUUAAUGCCGAUGGCAUAAUAAAUAUUUGAUUGAAUAUUCCUACGUUAUGUUUUGAUACAAUUUUCCAAUAUUUUCAAAUUAUUAAGAAUAUUCUGCAAAUAUUCGAAAAACUUGUUCGAAUAAGAAAAAAGAAUCGAAUAUUUCAUCGAUAUCUUUUCUUUUAAGUAAAGACGACAGGCACAAAAAUUUUCAAGUGAAAAUUGUUCAUUGAAAAAACCGAAAUGACAUAUGUUAGAAUUUUUAUUUAAAGAGAAUUUAAUACUAAAAAAUAUGUUUUAAUAAUUAGUAUUAAAACUUGAGAACAAAAUUCUAAAUAAUUCAUAAGUGUAUAAUGAAAACUGAUUAAAAUAUAAAAAUAAUGUUAAAAUUUCAGUUUAAGGACUCAAUAAUUGAAGAUAAUUUGUUAUCAAAAUAAUAAAGCAAUAAUUUAAUUUAAUUUCAGUAAAUAGUCAAUAAUAUAAAUUUUCAAUGAAAAUUUUUUUCCUGAAAAAUUUCAAAUACUAUCUAGAUAGAGUUAAUUACUAGAAAUAUCAUCAUAAACGCACUACAUACAAUAAUUUAUGUAGAGGUGAAAAUGCAAACAUUUAAAGGCUCCAUAUGUGAGAAAUAUAAAAAAAGGAAA